rnacentral:rRNA from 15 species
UUUUGACCUCGGAUCAGGUAGGGAUACCCGCUGAACUUAAGCAUAUCAAUA